AUUGAACGCUGGCGGCAGGCCUAACACAUGCAAGUCGAGCGAGCGGCGGAGGGGAGAGUAAUGCCUGGGAAUUGCCAAGUCGAGGGGGAAAAACGUUGGAAACGACUGCUAAUACCGCAUACGAGUGGAAUGCCCAGGUGGGAUUAGCUAGUUGGUGGGGUAAUGGCUCACCAAGGCGACGAUCUCUAGCUGGUCUGAGAUGAUGAUCAGCCACACUGGAACGGAGACACGGCCCAGACUCCUACGGGAGGCAGCAGUGGGGAAUAUUGCACAAUGGGUGAAACCCUGAUGCAGCCAUGCCGCGUGUAUGAAGAAGGCCUUCGGGUUGUAAAGCACUUUCAGCGAGGAGGCGUUACUCGCAGAAGAAGCACCGGCUAACUCCGUGCCAGCAGCCGCGGUAAUAC
rnacentral:rRNA from 1 species